CAUCUCAUUUUAAUGUUUUAGUUAGCUAUUCAUUGAUCAUUGUCUACGAAGCAAAUGUGAGCACCAGACUAUGAUGCUAGCUAUGCAAAAAGCAGUAUGAAAGACCAGACGAGCGUAAAAGCAGUAGAAAUCGUUGGUUAAUAUGAUAAGGUAAGUUAGUAAUUUGCUACACUGAAGAAAGUAAAAAACCCCAUUUAGGAUUUAGCUAGAUGAUUGAUUGACUGAAAUUGACCAAAAAUUGAGGUUUAUUUCUUCAUAAUAUUUCUCCUAAUUUCAACCUUGGAUUGUUCUGACUUGAUUGUGUUUCUGUAUGUCAGUUCUUUCAGUAGGAAGUGUUGACUGUUAAUAUUAGGAGAACAAGUAGUUACACGUUUCAUAGAUAGGAAUAUGAUCAAGAAGAGGCUUGGAAAGUAUUAGUCAUCAGUUUAAUUCUUUUAGGAGGUUUUUCUUUACCAUCGACUGUGUCUUUUAAGUUUUUAUGCAACUGAUGCAUAAUCUAGUCGUAGCUUGCUGUAUUCCUUUUAAAUACUUAGUCUUAGAUUUGCAUAACUUUUGGCUCUUUCUUUACCAAGUAAUUUUUAGCUCUUCUUUUAGCUAGCAACUCUUUUACCUUAAUCUUGUUAUUUUAUUUUUAUUAUACUAGUAUUCUUACUUGUAUUACACAUGUAUGUGACUUCAGAGGGUAAUCUGGUGGUGAUUAGUAUUUGACAGUUGAACUGCACUUGGAAUUUGGCUAUAUGGGAAAGACAAUUCAGG
rnacentral:lncRNA from 1 species